rnacentral:lncRNA from 1 species
CCACAUCUGAUCUCCCAAAUUAACCAGAUUAAUCAAGAGUCGAAACCCUUUUGCUAAUCAUCAGUCAUAAUUAAUACAAUAAUUAACCAGACUUACGUUACGUCGCCGUUUCGAGGUCAUGGGUUUUGUAGCACGAAGAAAGUCGAGCAGUACCGUGGUUUGCUGCAUCCUUUUGGUUUUGGUUAUUUCGGCUUCUUGCUUUCAGCCUGCUGAAAUGAGGAUGUUGAAGGAAGAAUAUGGCGGCGGCGAUCAUGAUCGUCAUCAUCAUAACAAAUUACUAAUCGUGAUACAGUCUCUACAAAGGGGUCCGGUUCGAGGAUCGGGUCCGAAUCCAUGCACCAACAUCACGGGUCGGAACCGGGGAAUAUGCACCCGUGCUACCGUCGGUACCAUGAACGUCGCCGGCAAUACGUUCGUCCGGUCGCCUCCUCUAGCCGUCGCAGACAAAAGUGAAUCUUGGUCGUCGUGAAUAUUUUUGACUAUUUUUUGUUUUAUUAACACGCGACUUUUUUAUUUAAUUUAUUUGUUCUCGGACGUAUUUGUAUUUUUAAUUAUUUAAUUCUUUUUUUUAACCGUUUGUACUGAUAACUGCAAGUGUACGUAGACUGUGAAAAUAAUGUUGAGUUGUUCUCAAUCUCCAGUGUUUAUAUGAACAUAAUUUUUAAU